CUAGUUGUAUUAACUCUUAGUUAAUACAAGAUCGACUAUGUCGACUAAAGUUCUAGGUAGAAUAAUGAUGAUGACAAUUUUCUACCUAUAUGUCUUGACCAAAUCUCGUGCCAGCAGUCGCGGUAAUACGUGGAAGACUAGUGUUAUUCAUCUUAAAUAGGUUUAAAGGGUACCUAGACGGUAUAUCUAGCCCAAAACAGGGUACGGAUUAACUAGAGUUUUAUGUGAGAAGGGGAGUACUUUUAGAGUAAAGAUGAAAUUUUAUGAUACUAUGAGGAAACUGGUGGCGGCGAAAGCAACCUUCUAUGUAUAAACUGACGUUGAGGGACGAAGGCUUGGGUAGCAAAUAGGAUUAGAUACCCUAGUAGUCCAAGCAGACAAUUCUGAAUGCCAUAGAUUAGAUUUUUUUGAUUUAUAAAUGAAAGUGUAAGCAUUCCACCUUAGGAGUAAUGUGGCAACACAGGAACUGAAAUCAUUAGACCGUUUCUGAAACCAGUAGUGAAGUAUGUUAUUUAAUUUGAUAGUCCUCAAAAAACCUUACCACAACUUGAAUGUUAUUUAAUUAAUACAAGCGUUGCACGGCUGUCUUCAGUUAAUGUCGUGAGAUUUUGGUUAACUCCUUAAAUUAACGUAAACCCAUGCUUUA
rnacentral:rRNA from 1 species